rnacentral:rRNA from 1 species
GAUGAACGCUGGCGGCGUGCCUAGUACAUGCAAGUCGAGCGAACGGACGAGAAGCUUGCUUCUCUGAUGUUAGCGGCGGACGGGUGAGUAACACGUGGAUAACCUACCUAUAAGACUGGGAUAACUUCGGGAAACCGGAGCUAAUACCGGAUAAUAUUUUGAACCGCAUGGUUCAAAAGUGAAAGACGGUCUUGCUGUCACUUAUAGAUGGAUCCGCGCUGCAUUAGCUAGUUGGUAAGGUAACGGCUUACCAAGGCAACGAUGCAUAGCCGACCUGAGAGGGUGAUCGGCCACACUGGAACUGAGACACGGUCCAGACUCCUACGGGAGGCAGCAGUAGGGAAUCUUCCGCAAUGGGCGAAAGCCUGACGGAGCAACGCCGCGUGAGUGAUGAAGGUCUUCGGAUCGUAAAACUCUGUUAUUAGGGAAGAACAUAUGUGUAAGUAACUGUGCACAUCUUGACGGUACCUAAUCAGAAAGCCACGGCUAACUACGUGCCAGCAGCCGCGGUAAUACGUAGGUGGCAAGCGUUAUCCGGAAUUAUUGGGCGUAAAGCGCGCGUAGGCGGUUUUUUAAGUCUGAUGUGAAAGCCCACGGCUCAACCGUGGAGGGUCAUUGGAAACUGGAAAACUUGAGUGCAGAAGAGGAAAGUGGAAUUCCAUGUGUAGCGGUGAAAUGCGCAGAGAUAUGGAGGAACACCAGUGGCGAAGGCGACUUUCUGGUCUGUAACUGACGCUGAUGUGCGAAAGCGUGGGGAUCAAACAGGAUUAGAUACCCUGGUAGUCCACGCCGUAAACGAUGAGUGCUAAGUGUUAGGGGGUUUCCGCCCCUUAGUGCUGCAGCUAACGCAUUAAGCACUCCGCCUGGGGAGUACGACCGCAAGGUUGAAACUCAAAGGAAUUGACGGGGACCCGCACAAGCGGUGGAGCAUGUGGUUUAAUUCGAAGCAACGCGAAGAACCUUACCAAAUCUUGACAUCCUUUGACAACUCUAGAGAUAGAGCCUCCCCCUUCGGGGGACAAAGUGACAGGUGGUGCAUGGUUGUCGUCAGCUCGUGUCGUGAGAUGUUGGGUUAAGUCCCGCAACGAGCGCAACCCUUAAGCUUAGUUGCCAUCAUUAAGUUGGGCACUCUAAGUUGACUGCCGGUGACAAACCGGAGGAAGGUGGGGAUGACGUCAAAUCAUUAUGCCCCUUAUGAUUUGGGCUACACACGUGCUACAAUGGACAAUACAAAGGGCAGCGAAACCGCGAGGUCAAGCAAAUCCCAUAAAGUUGUUCUCAGUUCGGAUUGUAGUCUGCAACUCGACUACAUGAAGCUGGAAUCGCUAGUAAUCGUAGAUCAGCAUGCUACGGUGAAUACGUUCCCGGGUCU